GGCAGGGUAGCAAAGUGGUCUAAUGCAGCGGCCUUAAGUUGUGCGAGCUUUUGCUCCGAGCCAUCCGCCAUUCGCGGGUUCGAACCCCGCCCUUGCCA